rnacentral:ncRNA from 1 species
UAAGUAUUUGAUUCUGGUACAUUGAAAUUAAUUAAUUCAUUAAAUUAUAUGGAAUAAUUGUUUAAAUUAUUUAUAUUUUCCAGUAAUUAAUAUUAUUUAUUUAAUUUAAGUUAGAUUUAGAUAUUGAAUUAUAUUAGAUUAAAAUUGUGCCAGCAUUCGCGGUUACACAAUUUAAUAGAGUUAAUUUUAUGGGGGUUUAUUUUUUUAACUUUUUGGAUUUAGAUCUUUGUUAUUUAGGUGGAAUUUAUUAUUAAGAUUGGUUCUCCAUAAUAAAAUUAUAAGAAAUUCUUAUAGAUAAACUAGGAUUAGAUACCCUAUUAUAAAUUACUUAAAAUUUUUGCUCUGAAUAGUAUUAGUUAUGUUCUUUAAAGCUCAAAGAAUUUGGCGGUAAAACAUUCUUUUUAGAGGAACCUGCAAUUUAAUCGAUAAACCACGAUAAAUCACACUUAAUUUAUAUUAUUUGUAUACCUCUAUAAUUUGGAAUGUUUUUAGAGAAUAUUUUCUUUUUCUUAAUAAGUUUUAUAUUAGGUCAAGGUGCAGUUUUAAUUAAGUUUUUGUGGGUUACUUUAAUCAUAUACAAGUAGGAAUUAUAAUUGAAUUAGAUUUAACAAAUUAGGAUUUAAUAGUAAAUUUGAUUUAUUAGUUAAUUUGAAUUUUGCUCUGUUUUAUGUACAUAUCGCCCGUCACUCCUAAAUAUAUUUAGGAUAAGUCGUAACAAAGUAACUUUACCGGAAGGUGAAGUUAGAA